AGAGACCCACAGACCCAAGUGGAACUGCAGGACGGAUCCACUCACCUCAUCCCAGAGUUCUUCACCUCAUACCCACCUUCACCUCUCAGAAGGAAAACUUCUGGGUCAAAGUUUUUAAAGGUAUUGGAAAGUUCUGUAAAAUACCAUCUUCUCAGCAUGGCACAACCAUUGUGAUCAAUAACGCCC